CGGGUAAUAAGGUGGGAUUGAGGGGUUUAGUUAUUUAUUUAAAUACUUGUUAUGUGAAGCACGGUUAGUGUUGGAGUUAGUGGGUAAGAGACCUAGGCCUAUAAAUAGAGAGCUUUUGCUCACUUAUUCAUUUCACUCAAAUAGUCAAAUAGCUAUCCAGUAUAUCCUUCUUCCAUUUUCCUCUACACGUACUGAAGUGAUUUUAUUCCAUCUUUUAUAGUCAAACACUUGUUUCUCCAAGAGCCAAAUAGUCCUACACACCAUCAUUAUUACUAGAAGCUUUAAACAUCAACAACUUCUCUUAAACAUCACCAUUAUUCUCCCAUACAUUUAUAUAUUUCCUUCAUCAUAUCGGCAUCACCACUACCACUAUUUUCACAUUCAAAUUUUAGUGCUCUGCUAGUUUUCUUUGGAAAUUAAGGUUUUUCGUAAGACAAUUAUUUCUCAAGAAUCACUCUCUUUGCAAUCAAGGCUAGGACUCCACAUUCGAGACCAAGGUAACUGAAAGUUUAGAAAGCCGGUGGCGAGUGAAACUUUGGACGCUUGUGUGUGUGAACUCGCUGAGGGCCAUAUAACUGCGGGCGGUCUAGGGCGCUCUAUUUAUUUAUUUACGUUAUUAAAUUAAUGUCGCAAUUAUUUUAGUUAUUAUUUAUUAUGUCUUUUGUACGAAAACUGGCCAGUUGUGAAUAUUUUCAAGUAUUAAAUAAAAAUGCGACAUUAUGAUUUUCCGCGAUUAACGCUUGUAAAUAAAAUUAAUAUUUUUAUAAAAGUACGGGCGUUACAAUUUGGUAUCAGAGCCACAGUUAUAUCGGUCCCAAACGUUCUCACGAGUUACACACAUCAGCCAAAAAGUUUCUGCUUGCCACCAAGUAAGUCCAUUAUAUAUGCUUCCAUUUCUAUGUGUAUUUUUUUUUUGUAAUUUC